GUAAGGUUCUCGCGUUGGCGCUGCAAAGCCGUAUCAGCGAGGUUUUUGCAGUGGAUAUACACCCAGCUGCCAAAAUUGGGGAAGGAAUAUUGCUGGAUCAUGGAACAGGUCUAGUCAUUGGUGAAACUGCUGUUGUUGGCAAUUGGGUUUCAUUAAUGCAGGUGCCAUGCAUCACACUCUU